rnacentral:rRNA from 1 species
CCUACGGGGGGCAGCAGUGAGGAAUAUUGGUCAAUGGGCGCGAGCCUGAACCAGCCAAGUAGCGUGAAGGAUGACUGCCCUACGGGUUGUAAACCUCUUUUGUCAGGGAGCAAAGGGCGCCACGUGUGGCGUUUUGCGAGUACCUGAAGAAAAAGCAUCGGCUAACUCCGUGCCAGCAGCCGCGGUAAUACGGAGGAUGCGAGCGUUAUCCGGAUUUAUUGGGUUUAAAGGGUGCGCAGGCGGAAUGUCAAGUCAGCGGUAAAAUCGCGGGGCUCAACCCCGCUCCGCCGUUGAAACUGUGUCCCUUGAGUGCGCGAAGGGUAGGCGGAAUGCGUGGUGUAGCGGUGAAAUGCAUAGAUAUCACGCAGAACUCCGAUCGCGAAGGCAGCCUACCGGCGCGCAACUGACGCUCAUGCACGAAAGCGUGGGUAUCGAACAGGAUUAGAUACCCGAGUAGUC